rnacentral:rRNA from 1 species
UACGAAGGGGGCUAGCGUUGCUCGGAAUCACUGGGCGUAAAGCGCACGUAGGCGGCUCUUUAAGUCAGAGGUGAAAUCCUGGAGCUCAACUCCAGAACUGCCUUCGAUACUGAGAGUCUCGAGUCCGGGAGAGGUGAGUGGAACUGCGAGUGUAGAGGUGAAAUUCGUAGAUAUUAGGAAGAACACCAGUGGCGAAGGCGGCUCACUGGUCCGGUACUGACGCUGAGGUGCGAAAGCGUGGGGAGCAAACAGG